rnacentral:lncRNA from 1 species
GAAUGGUUGAACUAGGUGCUAUAUCUAACAAACUCACAAAUAUAAAACUGUUCGCAACAUGACUGGCAUCCGCUCCUCUCUUCGCUGCCAAAGAAACAGUUCUUCUCUGGGGUAAUAUUAAGUUGAGGAGGAAACACCUCCCAUCUGGAGCCUUUCCAACAAGUUUUCCAAGGGCGAGCGCCAUGCUUCUGGGCAUCAAGUGGUGAACUCCUCCAAGUGGUACGGCUGUGGAAGCAGACGGGCAAAUCAAUCAACAUCUAUCCACCUGCCAUUAGCUGAGAAUGAGUCACGUGACCUCAGUCAAAGUGUAGGGCAACACA